rnacentral:rRNA from 1 species
GUACACUCCUGCGGGAGGCAGCAGUGGGGAAUUUUGGACAAUGGGCGAAAGCCUGAUCCAGCAAUGCCGCGUGAGUGAAGAAGGCCUUCGGGUUGUAAAGCUCUUUUGUCAGGGAAGAAACGGUGAAAGCUAAUAUCUUUUGCUAAUGACGGUACCUGAAGAAUAAGCACCGGCUAACUACGUGCCAGCAGCCGCGGUAAUACGUAGGGUGCAAGCGUUAAUCGGAAUUACUGGGCGUAAAGCGUGCGCAGGCGGUUUUGUAAGUCUGAUGUGAAAUCCCCGGGCUCAACCUGGGAAUUGCAUUGGAGACUGCAAGGCUAGAAUCUGGCAGAGGGGGGUAGAAUUCCACGUGUAGCAGUGAAAUGCGUAGAUAUGUGGAGGAACACCGAUGGCGAAGGCAGCCCCCUGGGUCAAGAUUGACGCUCAUGCACGAAAGCGUGGGGAGCAAACAGGAUUAGAAACCCCGGUAGUCC